UGAAUGUUGGUGUCAUGGACCUAGCUCCUC
rnacentral:piRNA from 1 species